CUAUGGAAGCUUGCUUCCACUGAGAAGAUAGUGGCGAACGGGGUGAGGUAACACUGGGGUAACCUGCCCAUAAGAGGGGGGAUAACAUCCGGAAACGGGUGCUAAUACCGCAUAGUUUUCUUGAUCGCAUGAUUGAGAAAGGAAAGACGGCCUUUGUGCUGUCGCUUAUGGAUGGACCCGCGGCGUAUUAGUUAGUUGGUGAGGUAACGGCUCACCAAGACGAUGAUACGUAGCCGACCUGAGAGGGUGAUCGGCCACAUUGGGACUGAGACACGGCCCAAACUCCUACGGGAGGCAGCAGUAGGGAAUCUUCCGCAAUGGACGAAAGUCUGACGGAGCAACGCCGCGUGAGUGAAGAAAAGGUUUUCGGAUCGUAAAACUCUGUUGUCAGAGAAGAACAAGUUGGAGAGUAACUGCUCCAGCCUUGACGGUAUCUGACCAGAAAGCCACGGCUAACUACGUGCCAGCAGCCGC
rnacentral:rRNA from 1 species